UGCAGGAGUGAGCCUGCUCGCGAUAGCGUUCUGUCAGUUGAUUAAAAUAUUGACUGAUCCAGCGCCAUCGCGAGCAGGCUCACUCCUCCA
rnacentral:misc_RNA from 1 species